rnacentral:misc_RNA from 1 species
CCUUUUGGAGUCAGGUGAUUGCAUCAACUUUCGUGGUGGAGUUUUAACAUAUGGUCCAAUAAUUGGUAAAACGGGUGAAUUAUCUCUGGGUAGAAAGUGAUAGAGAUAAGUAUGUGCGAGCUGAACGUAUAUCGUCUCCCAAUUGACCCAAACAUUAUCUUCUUGUUGCACUUGUAACCAUGGGUUGGUCAAGUGGUAAGCAAAGUGAAAUAUGUAGUACUCAAAGGGAUUCAUAAACAAAGCACUUGGAAGUCUCGUAUUUUGGUCAACCCUGAUUUUGUCGGAAUAAAACGGUGGAACGAUCCCAUCUUCUAGCAUAAGACGUAUCUUUGACUGUGGAAAA